GAUGAACGCUGGCGGCGUGCCUAAUACAUGCAAGUCGAGCGAACAGACGAGGAGCUUGCUCCUCUGACGUUAGCGGCGGACGGGUGAGUAACACGUGGAUAACCUACCUAUAAGACUGGGAUAACUUCGGGAAACCGGAGCUAAUACCGGAUAAUAUAUUGAACCGCAUGGUUCAAUAGUGAAAGACGGUUUUGCUGUCACUUAUAGAUGGAUCCGCGCCGCAUUAGCUAGUUGGUAAGGUAACGGCUUACCAAGGCAACGAUGCGUAGCCGACCUGAGAGGGUGAUCGGCCACACUGGAGCUGGGACACGGACCAGACUCCUACGGGAGGCAGCAGUAGGGAAUCUUCCGCAGUGGGCGAAAGCCUGACGGAGCAACGCCGCGUGAGUGAUGAAGGUCUUCGGAUCGUGAAACUCUGUUAUUAGGGAAGAACAAAUGUGUAAGUAACUAUGCACGUCUUGACGGUACCUAAUCAGAAAGCCACGGCUAACUACGUG
rnacentral:rRNA from 1 species